AUACAACACAGGAUUGACCAUGACCAGGAAGGUGCUUUCCCCAGGGCAAAGCUUAUCCAUUACACUCCAGACGUGCUGACGCCUGUGAUUUCUCUAAAUGCAGGAAACUCCACUUCAUAAUUUGUGGUGGUGGUGGGGGGCUGUGUUCAUGCUGUCGCUUG
rnacentral:snRNA from 1 species